rnacentral:rRNA from 1 species
UACGUAGGGUGCGAGCGUUAAUCGGAAUUACUAGGCGUAAAGCGUGCGUAGGUGGUGCGUUAAGUCUGUCGUGAAAGCCCCGGGCUCAACCUGGGAAUGGCGAUGGAUACUGGCGCGCUAGAGUGCGGUAGAGGAGAGUGGAAUUCCCGGUGUAGCAGUGAAAUGCGUAGAGAUCGGGAGGAACAUCAGUUGCGAAGGCGGCUCUCUGGACCAGCACUGACACUGAGGCACGAAAGCGUGGGGAGCAAACAGG